rnacentral:rRNA from 1 species
GGGAAUAUUGCACAAUAGGGGAAACCCUGUUGCAGCGACGCCGCGUGAAGGAAGAAGUAUCUCGGUAUGUAAACUUCUAUCAGCAGGGAAGAAAAUGACGGUACCUGACUAAGAAGCCCCGGCUAACUACGUGCCAGCAGCCGCGGUAAUACGUAGGGGGCAAGCGUUAUCCGGAUUUACUGGGUGUAAAGGGAGCGUAGACGGAAGAGCAAGUCUGAUGUGAAAGGCUGGGGCUUAACCCCAGGACUGCAUUGGAAACUGUUGUUCUAGAGUGCCGGAGAGGUAAGCGGAAUUCCUAGUGUAGCGGUGAAAUGCGUAGAUAUUAGGAGGAACACCAGUGGCGAAGGCGGCUUACUGGACGGUAACUGACGUUGAGGCUCGAAAGCGUGGGGAGCAAACA